UGGCGGAACCCGUCACGGGCUGAGUCCGUCGGUGGCGCGCUCCGCGCCUGGGGGGCCAUCGCCGCGCAGCGUCCCCGCCUCGCCCGCCGCCCAGGUUCCCAUUUUAAAAGCUAUUGGAAGACACUCUGCCACCCUCUUGGAUUACUUCCCAUACGACUCAGCAUGUCACUGUGCCCUGGAUUUUACAAGGUGGCCAUGAUUUAAUCCCCACUUCCCACUCCUAUGUAUUGGUGAAGCACUGGAGCUCUUUCGAGCUGCUGUUACUCCCGUGGGAACUGAUCUGUCUCCAAUCCCUUCUCCCAAGGACUAGACAUUGCCAGCAAUGAGCUCCCAAAGCCAUCCAGCGGUGUUUGUCAUGGGAGACCUCAGCCUGUUGUUUUUAGCAGCUCACCAAAGCGCUUAAGAAGAAUUCCUCCUCCUCCACUGAUUAAUUUCUGGCAUGGAGCACAAAAUAGCUCUUGCGUCAAUAAAUCGUCACAGCCCUC